rnacentral:rRNA from 1 species
AGGGCGGGACACGUGGUAUCCUGUCUGAAUAUGGGGGGACCAUCCUCCAAGGCUAAAUACUCCUGACUGACCGAUAGUGAACCAGUACCGUGAGGGAAAGGCGAAAAGAACCCCGGCGAGGGGAGUGAAAAAGAACCUGAAACCGUGUACGUACAAGCAGUGGGAGCACGCUUAGGCGUGUGACUGCGUACCUUUUGUAUAAUGGGUCAGCGACUUAUAUUCUGUAGCAAGGUUAACCGAAUAGGGGAGCCGAAGGGAAACCGAGUCUUAACUGGGCGUUAAGUUGCAGGGUAUAGACCCGAAACCCGGUGAUCUAGCCAUGGGCAGGUUGAAGGUUGGGUAACACUAACUGGAGGACCGAACCGACUAAUGUUGAAAAAUUAGCGGAUGACUUGUGGCUGGGGGUGAAAGGCCAAUCAAACCGGGAGAUAGCUGGUUCUCCCCGAAAGCUAUUUAGGUAGCGCCUCGUGAAUUCAUCUCCGGGGGUAGAGCACUGUUUCGGCAAGGGGGUCAUCCCGACUUACCAACCCGAUGCAAACUGCGAAUACCGGAGAAUGUUAUCACGGGAGACACACGGCGGGUGCUAACGUCCGUCGUGAAGAGGGAAACAACCCAGACCGCCAGCUAAGGUCCCAAAGUCAUGGUUAAGUGGGAAACGAUGUGGGAAGGCCCAGACAGCCAGGAUGUUGGCUUAGAAGCAGCCAUCAUUUAAAGAAAGCGUAAUAGCUCACUGGUCGAGUCGGCCUGCGCGGAAGAUGUAACGGGGCUAAACCAUGCACCGAAGCUGCGGCAGCGACACUAUGUGUUGUUGGGUAGGGGAGCGUUCUGUAAGCCUGUGAAGGUGUGCUGUGAGGCAUGCUGGAGGUAUCAGAAGUGCGAAUGCUGACAUAAGUAACGAUAAAGCGGGUGAAAAGCCCGCUCGCCGGAAGACCAAGGGUUCCUGUCCAACGUUAAUCGGGGCAGGGUGAGUCGACCCCUAAGGCGAGGCCGAAAGGCGUAGUCGAUGGGAAACAGGUUAAUAUUCCUGUACUUGGUGUUACUGCGAAGGGGGGACGGAGAAGGCUAUGUUGGCCGGGCGACGGUUGUCCCGGUUUAAGCGUGUAGGCUGGUUUUCCAGGCAAAUCCGGAAAAUCAAGGCUGAGGCGUGAUGACGAGGCACUACGGUGCUGAAGCAACAAAUGCCCUGCU